UACAGAGGGUGCGAGCGUUAAUCGGAAUUACUGGGCGUAAAGCGCGCGUAGGUGGCGACGUAAGUCGGGUGUGAAAGCCCCGGGCUCAACCUGGGAAUUGCAUUCGAGACUGCAUUGCUGGAGUACGGAAGAGGAGGGCGGAACUCCCGGUGUAGCGGUGAAAUGCGUAGAUAUCGGGAGGAACAUCAGUGGCGAAGGCGGCCCUCUGGGCCACUACUGACGCUGAGAAGCGAAAGCAUGGGGAGCGAACAGG
rnacentral:rRNA from 1 species